rnacentral:rRNA from 1 species
GACAGAGGCCUCAAGCGUUUAGGCGGAAUCACUGGGCUUAAAGCGUGUGUAGGCGGAUCGUUAAGUGUCUUGUGAAAUCCCACGGCUCACCCGUGGAACUGCUGGGCAUACUGGCGAUCUUGGGCCAACUAGGGGCAACUGGAACAAGCGGUGGAGCGGUGAAAUGCGUAGAUAAUCGCUUGGAACGCCAAAGGUGAAACAGGUGCUGGGGUUGUGCC